rnacentral:lncRNA from 1 species
GGUGAGAAAUAUUUACCUACGAUGUACGCUAAAUAGCUUUCCAAUAUCUAGAUGGGUAACCUGCCCGGAGCUUAUUGAAAUAGAGAAUAUAUAUUACAUAUGGUUGAUCUUGACAUUUUUUUUCUUAUAAAUUGAGAAAAAUAUAAUUUUUAUGUUCUCCUUGUGUCCCUUUGGCUUGGAAUCAAUUUGGACUAAACAUUAGCAUGAUUGACUUGUUCUUUACCCUCUUUUGUUCUUUCUUGAGACAAGAAAUUGGAAGUGUCAUCCUCUAAUUAAUGACCUUAGCCUGAUGGGAACAAGGUCAUUGUCAGUCACCAUUUUGUUGUCAGAGUUCGGAAGGAAAUCAGAUACCUCCUUCCAUAAGCUGGCUUGGCACUCAUCCCCUCGGCAAAUUUGUCAAAGGGGAAGUUCGGUUUGAGCUGAAAGGUGAUAUUCUCGUCGCCAAAUAAAAUAAAAUAAAUGUACAUCAAUAAAAUAUUUAGAAAAUUUAAAAAUAAUUGAGAAAAAAUUACCCUAUAUAUAUAUUAAAAAAAUAUAACCAUUUACUAUUACCUUCUUGUGGUUUUUUAGCGGGUUUUUAAUGGGUUUAUAAUGGAGGAGUCUUAAUUUUAAACAUAUGAGUUGGUCGAGCUUCUGAUGGUAAAUUUGCCUAUAAUUUGAUAAAAUAUAAUCAAGAAAGCUGGCUACUUGUUUGAAGGGAUAGUUUUCAUG